CGGUGGAGCAUGUGGUUUAAUCGAAGCAACGCGAAGAACCUUACCAGGUCUUGACAUCCCGAUGCUAUUCUAGAGAUAGAAAGUUACUUCGGUACAUCGGUGACAGGUGGUGCAUGGUUGUCGUCAGCUCGUGUCGUGAGAUGUUGGGUUAAGUCCCGCAACGAGCGCAACCCCUAUUGUUAGUUGCCAUCAUUCAGUUGGGCACUCUAGCGAGACUGCCGGUAAUAAACCGGAGGAAGGUGGGAUGACGUCAAAUCAUCAUGCCCCUUAUGACCUGGGCUACACACGUGCUACAAUGGUUGGUACAACGAGUUGCGAGUCGGUGACGGCGAGCUAAUCUCUUAAAGCCAAUCUCAGUUCGGAUUGUAGGCUGCAACUCGCCUACAUGAAGUCGGAAUCGCUAGUAAUCGCGGAUCAGCACGCCGCGGUCGAAUACGUUCCCGGGCCUU
rnacentral:rRNA from 1 species